GCUUAGCUGAUAUUUUACUUCGCUUGAAUAUACUUCUUCGCCAAAUUGCCUUUCUUUUGAUUUUACUGAAGCGAAGUUGUUUAAUUAAGAACUGAAUACCGACCAACAUGGUCAUGGAGCAAAAUUUGCAUCCAAGGACGUCAAAUUAAAGCCACGUUACUUCGAAAGCUACAGCCCACAGGGUGUAUAAAAAAACUUGCAAACACUAUAAUUUGCAUAAUUCUGCUGCCUACUAGCAUUUCAAUGUCGGUGCUACUUAUUUUGCUCCUGGGAUUUGAAAAUACAUUCUAAUUAACCCCGUUGAUAGAAUUAUUCGUAAAGCAGAAAACUAAUUAUCAGUUCGACUGCGAAUGGGUCAACUAUUGUGUUUCCGCACGCUUGGGAUCAAUUAGUUCUGAAUCAUGCAUAUUCUAAAAACAUUGUACUACAGGGUGUCCCCCCCCCCCCAAUUAUCCUAUUGUUGUUAAGCACAGGAUUUCAUGCGCCUGGUAAUUAAAAAUUCAAUUCAAUUGUGUUUACGCACUCUUGUGUUCAUGCAGCAUCAGUGGCGUAGCCAAGGGGGGCGAGGGGGGCGACCGCCCCCCCCCCAAUCGCAAAAAAACCAUUCUCUGAAAAAGGCUAAAUCUGUAGAGAAAUUGGGGGGGGGGCGGGGGGUACACGUUACAUCCUCGAAGCUGGAAC